rnacentral:lncRNA from 1 species
AGGUGAUGACAUUGUAUUUUUUGGCUAUUUGUUAUUCUAUGAUUAUUUGAUUAUCUUGAGGAACUUGUAUGCUAUUUGUGUGAAGGAUAUUUGUUGUGUAUUAAGGAAGGACAGGACUUGAUAGAAAGAGGAAGAGAGGUAAAACAAUAAGGAAAACAAAAAUCAAGGUCUCUCUAUUCCUACCUUUAUGUAUGAUAAACACGGAGUGGGAUUGCUGUUGAUUUCCUACAGCUCAUAGCUACUUGGUGUGAAUCCAAUAAAACGUCAUGACAGCUAAUUUGCUCUACUCAAGAACAUUCUCAAAAUUGAAAAGUGUAAUCUUUUAUUUUACACCAAUAUCAUUGGUAAAUAAUCAAUGAAUAAAAAUACAACAUAUACAAUCAAUAAUGUACACACACCAUAAAUUAACUAAAAGUCUAUUGAAACAAAUAAAAACCACACUAGGAA